rnacentral:rRNA from 1 species
UACAGAGGGGGCAAGCGUUGUUCGGAAUUACUGGGCGUAAAGGGCGCGUAGGCGGCCUGCUAAGUCGAACGUGAAAUCCCCGAGCUCAACCCGGGAACUGCGUCCGAUACUGGCAGGCUUGAAUUCGGGAGAGGGAUGCGGAAUUCCAGGUGUAGCGGUGAAAUGCGUAGAUAUCUGGAGGAACACCGGUGGCGAAGGCGGCAUCCUGGACCGAAAUUGACGCUGAGGCGCGAAAGCCAGGGGAGCAAAGCGGGAUUAGAUGACCCC